UUCUGUCUCUCUCUUUCUUGGGAUUAUAAACAUGCCCCUAGGCAUGGUUCUUCUGUUCCUUUCUUCUUCUUCUACAACUUCCUCACACCCACUUUCUCUCUAUCAAAAACCCAAUACAGAAAAGGGAAAAAAAAAAGUCACCAAUAAAUAUACACUUCUCCUGUUUUAAUUUUUAUUUAUCUGGAAAUUCAGUUGCUUAUAGCAUAUAUAUUGCUGAUAUGAUCUGGACGGAGAUUUUGAUUUUAUUGAAUUAUAUGGAAGAUCAUCUUUGAAAUUACUUAUCUAUCAGAAUCCUUGCUCACCUUUUCUUUUGGCAGAGGCUAUCACUCUGUUGGACUAUGAAUUCUAGUUGCUUCAUUGCUUGCUGGUUGGGAGGUAAAAAAAUCUGGGCUACCCGUUAUGGUUGGAUAGUGAUGGUGUGUUUGGCUUUCGCUGCUCAGUCCCAUAAAGGAGUUGUACGUGAAAUGUGGUGGAUGCCUUUGGUGGAUGCAUAGUACUUUCUCCUUUAUAGUAAGGAAAAAGUUUGGUGGGAUUCAUUUACAUUUGAUUGUCAUGCUCUUUCUGCUUUCGUUCAACUACAUUGAUAGGAUUAGGAGUCUAGAAUCUGUUUUCAGUAGUUAGUAUAGAGGAGCAGUUUCUAAUCUGUUAGCAAAGUUGAGCCGGUGGCAAUUUAUGUUGUGAAAUUAAAAUGCUGCUCUUGUAAAACAGAGAGAAGGGAGUGAUAAUUUAUUCAGCUGUGCUGGAUAAGUAGAUAUUAGUUUCUUUAAAUUUUAGUUAUGGGUUUGCCACAAGUUUCCUCUACUGAUAGUGCUAAUGAAGUUCCAGCAGCAUCGUUGGGCACUUUUUUGCAAAGCCCGCCACGAUAUGCUGGCAUAAGUGGAUUGGAUGGAGGAAAUAUUGGCCGAACAGUUGGGCAUACUAGGACUUCCUCAUUAGGAGAUUUCCAGGGGAAACCCUCCUUGGAUCUUUUGAAAUAUUCGGAGAAUUCAUUUGAAUUUGGAAGGGCAGUGGAUGUUGUUUCCAAUUUUCAUGGGUUGAAAACUGGUUCUGUGGAUGAAGUUGGUCGUUGUACUCCUAAAAGUGGGAGGAAUAUUCCAAUCCCUGCUUCUAGGAUUGUGGGUUUUGAAUCACAUGGAAUGAGUUUUUUAAAUAAUGGCUUUGAGAUUCUUUCUGCUGAUCAUGUGUGUUCUUCUGCUGUUGAUGGUGUCACGAUUAAUGAGGCUGAGUCAAGUGGAUCACUUGUCAGGAAGCGGUUACUGUCAUCACCUUUAAAUGAUAUGCUUUCUGCAAAACAAUUUUAUGGUGAGUCUUUGGAUAUCAGCUGCAAUACUUCUCGGAUGAGUUGCCCUACUCAUGCUGAUCAUUUCAAAAGUUCUGCAUCACAUGACUACAAGAAAGCAAAUGUUGGCAGAAAAAUUCAUAUCAGUGUGCCAUCUCGAUCCUUAUCUGGCUGCUGGGAACAAAAGAAUGUGCCAUGUGACGAUAGUGCUAGAAGGUCUGUUUGUUUGACUGAUGGUCCAUUAUUGGAAAAAAAUGAUGCACUCUCUUGCAUUAAUUGUUUUUACUCUCCUGGACACAAUCAUUACCUAGAGUCUAAGGUAUCCUCCCAAAAGGGAUUUUCAUCUCCACUCUCUCUGUCUCCUCUAGGUCCAAAGUCUUGUGUAAGUAUGAAAACUGUAGGAGGAUGCAGAGAGGUCAAGAGCCAAUUUGAGGAUUGCUAUUUGAAUUUAGAAAAAAUAGGGCAUUCAUUUGACAGAAAUGACUCGGGCAUUAACUUUGCUUCUGAAGAAGCAGAGUUCAGGAUCUCAAGCAGAUCAUUUGAAGAUAUUGGCUUCUGCAAAGGGUUUUGUCCAUCUUCCUUGGAAGGCACUACUGACUCAGGUUGGUCACCUUUCUGUCGAGAAUCUGCUCCAGCCCAAUGCAUAAGGCACCUGAGAAGUUUAGGUGGUCUUUCUGUUAGGAGGUCCUUGGUUGGUUCAUUUGAGGAGUCACUACUGUCUGGACGGUUCUUUUGUGGAAAAUUCACUCAGAGAAUUGAUGGCUUCCUAGCUGUGUUAAGCAUUACUGGAGGGAACUUUUCACCGCAAUCACAGAAGCUUCCAUUUUCAGUGACCAGUGUAGAUGGAGAUUGCUAUCUACUGUAUUAUGCAUCCAUAGAUCUUAGUAGAAAUUCAUCAUCAAACAAGUGUAGGGGACAAAAAUUUAAAAGAUGCCUAAGCAAUGAUGAUUCUCAAAUUGUCAGGAGUCGCUUGCAUAUACCCAUGAAAGGUCGAAUACAACUGGUUAUCAGCAAUCCGGAGAAAACUCCUCUUCACACAUUCUUUUGCAACUAUGAUCUGAGUGACAUGCCUGCUGGCACCAAAACGUUCCUGCGCCAGAAGGUCUCUUUGGCUUCUUCUGGACCAACUUCGACAGAACUGAAACAAGGACAGAUGGGUUUGGACACAAAAGUGAAAGACAAGGUGUCACCAGUAUCACAGAAAAGCCAUCCUGUAUACCCUGCAGCUUCUGAUGGCCAGAAGAGUAAAAUUAAAGGAAGUGAAUCCUGUGAUAUACUGGAUGUGGUUGAUGCCAGGAGUUUCCCCAAGCAAUCUCGAAUUGUAGAAAAGGUGACUGUGGACUCUUUGAUGCUCGAGGCCAACUGCAGUACUCCUAAAUGCCAGAGGACUGCAGGGAAGGAGUCCGCUGGGGUGGAAACAUGCAAUAAAACUGACAGAAAACCAGCUCAUUGUUGUUCAAAGAUAAAUGAAAAUACUCCCGGUGGUGGUGCUCUUCGUUAUGCACUUCAUCUCCGUUUUCUAUGCCCUUCACCGAAGAAGUCUUCUAAAUCAGUUCAGAAAUGCGUAUCUGAUCCUAUAGCUAUACCACAAAAGAUGAGCUUAGGUGUGGAAGGGGAGCGUAGGUUCUACUUGUACAAUGACUUGAGAGUUGUGUUCCCUCAACGCCAUUCAGAUGCUGAUGAGGGCAAGUUAAAUGUAGAUUACCAUUUCCCGGAAGAUCCAAGAUACUUUGACAUCAGCAACUGAAACAUCUAAUUCAUCUCAAUGGAGCUGGAUUCUUUGCUGACACUGUACAUGUUUCGUUUUAGUCAUCUCAUCUCGAAAUGACUGACUGGCUGACGACUAGCCCCAUACAAGCUAGGUAUUGAAUAUGCUUGAUGAAGUCCUACCAUACAUGAAAGUGCAGACGCGAUGCAUGGCAAUCCUGGUGAUCGUCUCACGGUGCUGCAUGUUGGACCACGUAAUUUUGGCGGGUAGUGGUGGGUCCUUUGUUUAAAAAUGAAAUUUGGACUUUGUUGCAAGGAAUGAUCCAUUGGGCCUGCCUAAGCCUAGUGCUUCUCAUGGCCCCAGAUGCCCAAAUAAGCAAUUCCCAUUUGACAUAAGAGGUCAGAGGUCAGAGUUUGGUAGCAUCUUCAUAUAUAUGGAUAUAUAUUUAAAGAAUGGAUUUCAAUA